rnacentral:rRNA from 1 species
AAGCUCGUAGUUGAAUUUCGGGGUUAGUAGGUUGGUCAUGCCUCUGGUAUGUACUGGUCUCACUGAUUCCUCCUUCCUUAUGAACCGUAAUGCCAUUAAUUUGGUGUUGCGGGGGAAUUUGGACUGUUAUUUUGAAAAAAUUAGAGUGUUUAAAAGCAAGCUAACGCUUGAAUACAUUAGCAUGGAAUAAUGAAAUAGGACGUUCGAUCUUAUUUUGUUGGUUUCUAGGAUUGACGUAAUGAUUAAUAGGGAUAGUUGGG